GAUGAACGCUAGCGGCAGGCCUAAUACAUGCAAGACGAACGGUAAGUUGAGUAGCAAUACUUAGCCAAGAGUGUCGUACGGGUGCGUAACACGUAUGCAACCUACCCUAUACAGGAGGAUAGCCUAGGGAAACCUGGAUUAACCCUUCAUAGUAUUAUUGGAUGGCAUCAUUUGAUAAUUAAAACUGAGGUGGUAUAGGAUGGGCAUGCGUCUGAUUAGUUAGUUGGCGGGGUAAUGGCCCACCAAGACGAUGAUCAGUAGGGGUUCUGAGAGGAAGAUCCCCCACACUGGCACUGAGAUACGGGCCAGACUCCUACGGGAGGCAGCAGUAGGGAAUAUUGGUCAAUGGAUGCAAGUCUGAACCAGCCAUGCCGCGUGCAGGAAGAAGGGCCCUUUCUGGGGUUGUAAACUGCUUUUGCCAGGGGAUAAAAUUUCCAUGCGUGGAAAACUGAAGGUACCUGGUGAAUAAGCCACGGCUAACUACGUGCCAGCAGCCGCGGUAAU
rnacentral:rRNA from 1 species